rnacentral:misc_RNA from 1 species
UUUAAAUCAGUACAAGAACCUUUGCACCACUCCAAAUUGAUUAAUUAACAUCACAACAACUGUUAAAAACAACUAGUUGAUAUUGCCAGAGCAAAUUUAAAUCAAUAACCAAAACCAAAUUAAAAGCGUAAAGGUAUGCUUAAAUAUGAGGCUUCCAAUAUGUUUAAGCUUUAACCCAGCUGCAUGAUGAUGACGACAAGUUUAAUUUGGAAUUUGAUUAUAUCACUCUCCUUCCCCUUCGGUUGUUGCUGAGGACAUGUAACUCAUGGCAAGUGAGGUCUCAUCUGCCGGUGCAGCCACCGCUGGUGCUUGGAAUUGUUGCUUGCAAGCUUGGCAAGUGAUUUGCAUGAUUGUAGAACUGAUCUUCUUUGUAGCUUGUUCUCUUAAUACUUGAGCCUUUUCAAGUUCAGCUUGGGCUUGUUGCCUUAUCCUCUUUGCAUUUGCGAAUUCUAAUUCAGCCAUGUCGAGUUGCCUUUUGGCUUGUUGUCUAGCCUCCUCAGCGUAGGCCUUUUCAGCCAUAGCUAACCUCAGCUGUUCAUUUGCAAAUUCUUUCAGUUUUGCAGCUUCCAGAGUAGGAUCACCACCACUUUUCUCUCUAAUUGUGUCCAAACUAGUCUGGUUUGAUUCAUUCUUUUCGCCGCGGCUACUUGACCCUAUUGAAAGCUUCAAAUUUGUAGGGUAACUUUCAUCGGGAUUUUGUGAUAAGCGAGUGGUGGAUGAUGGUAGGAGUUGAAGUUCAAGGUUGUGUUCUUGUCGACUAGAAGUAGAAGCAUCAUUUCUAUCAGAUGAUGAGUAUAAGAAAACAGGUUCAGAUGGUUUUGGUAUUGGCAAUCUUGGUACUGGGGCGAUGCUAAAAUUCCCAUCACUAGAAGGGCUUGUGCUUGAAGCAGUCCUAGAAGAGCAGGCCGGCUGCAAUGCCUGCAGCUCAGGCUGGGGUCGCCUUACUGUGCAAGCGUCUUGGUGUUCGAUGAAACUCUCCACCCUGAAAAGACAAGAAAUUGGAAUGAUUCAAAGGGAUUAUCAUUAUAAGAAGAAUUAGAUUAUGGGAGUAUAUUUUUGGAUUCUUGGUGUCUUUCAAUAACCAAAAUUGGCAAUAGCAGCCAAGUCGAGGAGGCAAUUAAGGUUUCCUCGUGUAGGGUUGCCAAGAAACAAACGUAUUAUAAAUUAUAUUAUUGAUUAAGGAUCUGUAGCGUGGAUUAUAUGACUAGGUUUCCUCCCAUAUUAAAUACAUAAAUGGGUUUAAAAAAAUGCAAUGGUUCUGUGUAAGCAAACGACUUGUUUUUUGGUCAUGGGUAACUGGGUAUUGCUUAUAUUUAGCCAAUGAAAACUCUUUCUAGCAGGAGUGGUGCACUGCCCAUAAACCUCUACUGGUUAACCGGCAUCACAUACAUGGGCAAGCAUGAAGUCUUAUCCAUUACCGGAAAUGAUUGUUGGGUUUAAAAUAUCGAUCGAAAUUCUUUCUUUUUCCUUAUUAAAAAUGAGUAUGAACUUGAAUUUCAGUGUGAGAUCACCGAGAAGAAGAACAACAAUAAAUUAAACUGAAAAAUACUUGAAAACGAGCAUGCCUUUCAUGGGAAUUUUUAGGGUUUGUUGAGAAUCUAAUUAAUUAAUCUAGACCCAGAAAGGAUAUUAAAAAUUUUACCUGGAAAAGACACGGCCACAGUCGCAAGAGUGGCCUCUUGUGCCGCAAGUCUUGAGGUGGGCUUUGUAAUCAGAUUGGACAGCAUAACCUUUAGAGCAUUUCUCACAAACCCACUGCUUGUGAUUGCUGUGUUUCCUUCUAAAGUGCUUUUUUAUCCCAACGAGAUCGCCUAAAGCGUGACAAGGGUCAUGGUGCAAGCAGCUUGGCUCUGGGCAUACAUAAACUCUCUUCUUCACCUCUUGUGUCUCUCUCUUCAACAACUUCCAUGGUACUUUGUGUCUUCUCCUGUGCAUUUGUAGGUUCUGGUCUCUUUGAAACCCUUGGUUACAGAUCUCACAAACAUAUCUAUCUGAUUCCAGCAAAGUCCUGGGCGAUAGAGAAACAACCUCUGCAUCUGGAUCUGGCGUUCCUGCAGGUUUUCUUUUCUUUUUGUUGGUGACCCCAUUACCCAAGGCAGGGAAGGGAUCAGAAGAAGGAGACGGAACACUUGGAUUGGUGUUGUCUAGCAUGGAUGAAUUGUUGGGAUUUGGAGAUUAUAUGUUGUUAUUGGUGAAGUGAAAGAAAAUCAAUCUUUACCUGUACAGGUGGUGAAGUUUUUGGUGUAGUGGGGUUUUCAGCUUUACUGAUAGAAGGAAAUGGGUAGAGAGAGAAAGAGAAAGAAAGUUUUAAAGACAGAGAAAGAGAGAGAAAGAACGUGGAGAAAGAAAAGCUCUUGCUUUCUGCAAUCAACUUUCUUUAAGCUUUUUAGCUUUUGUAUUUGGCCAUGGGCUUUCUUGGUUUUGUUGUUUCAUUGACCCCCCACCCUUCAACUUAUGCAGGUAAAGGUUAGACGCAGAGUCUCUUCUAUAUAAAGCUCUUUCUCUACAGUCUCUCUGAGAGAGAGAGAGAGAGAGA